GGAAAAGUGAUCUAAAGUUAUCUCCGGUAGCUCAUGAUGUUGUAUUUUGCCUCUGAGGAGAGUUUUUAGUUUAAAAUGAAAUGCUGUUUAAAAUCAGGAUUGCAGAGCUGCUGUUCCAUCAAUUGCCUGAGAUAUCAGCUAGUAAGGGGACACCCAGAGACUUGCCGCGUGGUGUAGCCUUUACUCCUAGAGUCUGCUGGGGCCAAGCGUAUGAUUCAUGUGAGCAAGAGAGUGAACAGACCUUAGGAGAGAAGUUAACAGUUGCCACAGGAUCCCUAGGGAGUGAGGAAGGCUUAGGGAGGAGGUGAAGGAACCAUCUCCGUCCACAGAACAGCAAGUCAGAGGUCCCCAGGGAUGAGAAGAAUCCAGCAAAUGGUCUAGCCCGCCAACAGACAGGCAAAGCCCUGCAACUCUGAAAUAAGAACUGGGCUGUGACACUGCUUCCUCUCUCUCCCUACACUCCAAACCCAGGAGGACUAUCUGAGAAGAAAAAGGAGAAAUUCUGCUCUGGAACCCCAGAAGAAGAAUGUGGAAAUAUCACUUGGAGAGAACUGCCAAGGAAGUUCACUCACAGAUUCCUGCAUCCUCUGGCACAGUGCUGCAUGACUUUGAGCUGACCUUGAAAUUUAUGGUCUGGCACAAAUAGUCAUUAAACUGGGAACAGCUUGUGCAAUGCCUUGAUAACAAAUGGUACCCAGCAAUGUGUUAGCCGUGGA
rnacentral:lncRNA from 1 species